AAUCACAGGUAACGUCGUGCUCUGAGUUGCCCACGUAUGGCUGAGUAGAGUCAGGGACUUGGAAGCUGAAGAAAUGGCACUGCAAUAGGUACCCUAUGACAUCAACAGAUUAUUUAGGAAGUGCAGAAAUAAGACUAUAAGCUUCUGGGAAGCAGAAACACAAUGCCUGGUGCAUAGCAGCAAAUAUACAUUUAUGGAAGGAAGGGAGGCAGGAACCAGUCACAUGAGCCUCUUGUUCAGUCAUGAAGAUUAGCAGAAUGUGGUCAUGGUGAGUGGCUACAGGCCAGUGACUGUGGGAGAUUAGGGAACUUUGAGGCAAAUAAAGGCUGGGUAGCAAAGUGAAAGGCUGGAGGGGGUUUCUGGCUGUCUGCGCUUGCUCAGUGCUAGCUAAGAUGCCAGGCGUGUGUGGGCUCAGUUGCUGUCUCUCAACAACUUUAGGUCCCAUCGGGCUGCGGUUCCACCUCAGCUAUUAUAAAGCUUCUUUCCUGUCUUACCAUAAAAUCUACCCAAGUGCCAUAUUCUAGUCAGCCUGCUUCACUGCCAAGCUCCAUGUUUAAGUCACCUUCUCUGAAUCUCUCAGCAUGCAGAUAGAAUAGUAUCCUACUUCGCUGGAGACUCAACUAUCAAGAAAAGGAAAGUGACCCUGCUCCCCAGUAAACAACACAACCACUGGUAUCCUGGACUGCCUGCAUGCCUGGAGCUGUUCUUAUCCAGUCUUUUUGUCAUUAACAAAGAUGGGCUUUCACUCAGCAUCCUCCACCCCACACCCAAACCGCUACAAGGCUUGUUUGCUCUACCUCCUGAACACAACCUAAAUUCACUCAUUUCUUUCCAUGGAUACCAUUCUAGUUCAAAUUACUAUAUCUUCACCUUGCUAGUGCUUUCACUCCCACCUUCCGUAAUCUAGUCCCCAUACAACAACCUUACUAGAUUAUGAAAGAAAUGUCUUCCUUUUGCUUAAAAUUCUCCCACAGCUUCCCAUUGGUCUUAGAAUAAAACUGGCUUAUAAAAGGUUGUGUUAUCUUGCUCCUGCCUACCUUUCCUCCCCCACUGAGUAUCAUUCUCUUCUUCACUCACUAUAAUCCCAUCACAUGGGGUGAGGUGUGGUGGCUCAUGCCUGUAAUCCCAGUGCUUUGGAAGGCUGAGGCUGGUGCAUCACUUGAGGUCGGGAGACCAGCCUGGCCAACCUGGCAAAACCUCAUCUCUACUAAAAACACAAAAAUUAGCCCGGCAUGGUGGUGGGCACCUAUAGUCCCAGCUACUCAGGAGGCUGAGGCAGGAGAAUCGCUUGAACCUGGGAGGUGGAGUUUGCAGUGAGUGGAGAUGAUGUCACUGCACUCCAGCCUGGGCGACAGAGCAAAACUCUGUCUCAAAAAAAAAAAAAAAAAAUCCCAUCACUUGGGACUCAAACAGUCCAAGCUCAUUUGUACUUUAGAGCCUCUGCACUUGCUCUUCCCCUCUUCGUAGGCCAUCUAAGUCCAUGCAUCUGCCCCUAGUCUCUAUGUGGCUGGUUCUUCCUUGUCCUUGGAUGUCACCUCUGCAGUGAGGCCUUCCUAAGUAACCUAUCAUCUCCAAUUUCUUCUUUAACGUCACCUUGUGAUAUUGUCCUCACAGUACACAUCACCAUCUGAAAUAACAGUGCCUUUGAUUGUUGACUUCCAUUUCUCUCCUCCAGAUUAUAAUUUCCACAUGGUGAGGCACCCCUUCUGCCGUGUUUUGCCCUAUUCCCGGAGCCUAGGACACAGCCUUUAUGGAGUGUAGCCUGAUAAUGUAGUUACUGAAUGAAACAAAUCUUCCUGGCACACGUUCUUCACCCCUGAAAACAACAUGGAUGAUGAGUGCAGACUGCAAAACAGCUCACUGGCAAUUGCUCUCAAUUCACUCAAACCCUGCGAAGACUGAUGCCUUGUCAUGAAGACAUAAGAGAGAUAUAAAAGAGCGAAACACCACACAUGAAGCUAAGAACUGUUAGGGAGGAAGAAAAGACGGGAAGAGAGCAACAUACAUCAUCCUAUUACGGAGGCAAGGAAAGGGGAGAAGAGAUAAAGACCAGGAGGGAAACGCGGACGGGAGCUGAUGAGGCAUCACCAUGCAAGAACAUUGCUCCAGAUGGCCGAAGGGAAGGUGCUGGCAUCGCUGCACUCAGGAUUAUUAUCCUAUAACUAGCAAAGCAUAUUUACUAAGGAGAGGCUGGUUUUUCUUCCGUACUAAGAAGGAUAAUUUCAGCUAAUUAAUUUGUUCUGCUGAACUGACAGCCACCGAGGAUGUGUCUGCAUGCCUUAUAAGCAUAUUCUUGGUUCAUUUACUGAGAUCCCACAGAGAAGUUCAAUAUCUAGAGUUAAGCAAAUAAAAAAUAAGUUGUUCUUGUUUCAAGGACCAAGCUCGGGACAUGAAAAGCAUCAAAGUGCUCUAAGCAGGAGGACAAUGACAUGCAACAUCUGAGGCAUUGUUAAGGCCUGGCCUACUCAAUGCAUAUUGUCACACGCCAACCAUUUUCCAGAUACCUAGGUUCAUGCUAAAGGUACAGAUAUCAGCACAGCUCCACCCUGAAAUAAAUCACAGUAUAAUGAGGCAGACACACCCAGAAACAACUCUGACACAGGGCAAAAAGAAAUGAGUUGCUAAACACAAAAUUAAGCUACAUGACAUGGGAAUACAAGGAAGGAAUGCAAACAGGAGAAGGGUGUUCAACACUUUGUGUUUGUGCACAUCUUAUCACUGUGCUAUGCAAAUCUCUACAUUCAUACAGAGCUGCAUACAAACGAGGGUAGGUUGGUGAUAUGAUAAACAAAAUACCAUCCUAGAGAUUGAAAGUAUGGAACUUCCUACAAACAUUGGCCAAGUGGUAUGUGGUAAAUGAGGACAACACUGCAAAUAGCGCCACUGCCUGUGGCCACCCGAUGCAGUGCUCACCCAGGAGGGCUGCUCUGCUGGGGAGCUGCAGGAUGGCACCAAUAGCUCUGCUUCGAGCCCAGGUCAAUAAUAAGAAGAGGGGUUGCCAUUUCCAGCAAGAGGUUGCAAACAUCAUUUCUCUGGGCUCCAAUUGUCUGAUGGUGCCCUGUUCUACAGAAGGGUCAACUAUACAACAGACAGGUGUGUGUAAAGCUGGAUGCUUAAGAAAUGUGACAAGGUUAGAGGGAAAACAUGCUCCAAAGCAAAGUUUCAGUGUGGUAAUUGAAGAUGAACAUGGGGUCAUUUUAAAACCAUGUCUGAAUCCCAACAGAGCAUGUUCCGACAUGGUUCAGCUUGACUGCUUUAUGUAAACAUGAAAAUGCCAUCGCCUGGCAAAACAAACUUCUCCCAGGAGAGCCUGUUCUCUCAACACAACAAGAGGAAAGGGAUAGUGGAAGCAGGAGAGUUGAGACCAUGAAGUCAUGAAGUUCAAGAAUGCCUUCCUUUGAAGGUUUAAUACAGAAAAGCUUUCGGGGGAAGGAGGAGAGUUUAAAGAAGUCCUGGUUCUCCGGCAUCCACAGUAAUACCUUUGCCUUGAAGGAGAAAGAUGGCCUUGGCUAUCAAGAAUGGGGAGAAAAGGCAGAAGCUACCACCCAAAAUUUUCAGAGCACCAACCAAAUCAAAGGAAAUAAAUACUAAUGGGUGAAGUAGAGUUUAAAAAUAACACAAGUAAUGUACACUCUCCCCUUACUAUUGUUUUUAAUUUUUAAUUUUUUAAUUGACAGUUUGUACAUAUUUAUAGGAUACAAUUUGAUAUUUUGAUACAUAUGUAUGUUGUAAAAUGAUCAAAUCAGGGCACUUAGUGUGUCCAUGAUCUCAUGCAUUUAUCAUUUAUUUGUAGUGAGAAUAUUCCAAAGCCUCUUAUCUAGCUAUUUUGUAAGGUACACUAUCAUCUUACUGUCAACCACAGUCACUCCACUGUAUAACAGAACAUCAAAACAUAUUCCUCUUAUCUAAUUGUAACUUUGUAUUUGCUGUUGCUAGUUCUAUCAUUUUAACAGAGAGAGAAAUAAACUUCCAGCUACAACAAUCAUGGAAUCACAGCUCUAUGUCUCCCACCUAAAAAUAUUUCCUACACAAAAUGCAAGGUAGACGUAGGUUUCAAAACUUAUCUGCACUCUAUUUUAUGAUCUUUGUUUUCAUUUUCAUAUAUGUGAGCAUAUUUCUAUUAUGUUAUUAAAAUGUGGUAGUAAUUGCUGCAUGGUAUUUAUUCCAAACUCCAAAACCUUCAAAUCCUGUAUCACUGAACAAACUGUUUCAAAUUUCCCAUUAAUCUUAUGUUAAAAAUAAAC
rnacentral:lncRNA from 1 species